AGCAGAGGCGCAACAGCUGCAACGCCAUCCAAUUAUUGCCGAUCCUCCCCUCCAACACUGCUCUCAUCACCUAUAUACUCUUCUCUCUGCCCGUCUCUGCUUCCCCCCCCUUCCCCCCCCCCUUUUCUCCCGGCCGACGGAGCUGAAGGGGCGGGGGUUCCUUCCUUGGAGUGUUUCUAGAGCUCGGAGGCUGCUGGUAGGGGGGCACCACUUUCAGAUAAAAACAUAGACCUGAAUGGCAUCAUCCAGUAUCCAAGGAAACCAUGUUCUCUAAACAUGAAUAUGCCUUUGGGGGAAGACAGAAGAACAUGGAAGCCAUGUGAAAAAAACGGAUCCUAAGAAGCAUUGAAAAGAACAACUUUCAAGUCAAAAGAAUCAAGGUGAAGAGAAUGGAUACUCAUGCCCAUGUGAAUUUGCUGCCCCAAGUCUACUGGAGGAUCAAGCUGCAGGUUUCAAUAGCUAUAGCCUGAAGAAUCUCUGUAAUGAACUAAAACAAUCAGUAAAAGAUCAGUUGCAGUGGAAGACAUUAUACUCUAGAUUUUUCUAGUAUUAUUAAAUUUGAAAAUGAUUUAUUCCAAAUUUUAACUUAGCUUUUAAUUUUACUAGUGUCAAAAUGUUGUACUACUUUGGACAACUGAUUUUUCCAAUAGAGAGUCAAUAGCAUCUUUGCAGGGUGGUUUAAAAGCCAAUAAUUUAAUCCAUAUUCUACUAAAACUUUUAAUAUAAGCAUUUUACCCAGAUGUAUUUUUUCCUUGUUUUAGAAAAUCUGAUUUUAAUUGCUAAAACUCGUUUUUAAAUAUUAAUUCAAUGAAAGAAAUGCUAUGGUUUUCUACUUUUUCAUUUCUUAAACUCAAGGGAAAACAUGGGUGAAAAACAAAAAAUUGUUCUGCAUAGAGUCUUCUUUAAUGUCUCACUUUGGUGAUGUAUGAAAUAAAAACCAAAUUGUUUUAACCAGCUAAAAA
rnacentral:lncRNA from 1 species